rnacentral:rRNA from 1 species
AACGCUAGCUACAGGCUUAACACAUGCAAGUCGAGGGGCAGCAUGGUCUUAGCUUGCUAAGGCCGAUGGCGACCGGCGCACGGGUGAGUAACACGUAUCCAACCUGCCGUCUACUCUUGGACAGCCUUCUGAAAGGAAGAUUAAUACAAGAUGGCAUCAUGAGUCCGCAUGUUCACAUGAUUAAAGGUAUUCCGGUAGACGAUGGGGAUGCGUCCCAUUAGAUAGUAGGCGGGGUAACGGCCCACCUAGUCUUCGAUGGAUAGGGGUUCUGAGAGGAAGGUCCCCCACAUUGGAACUGAGACACGGUCCAAACUCCUACGGGAGGCAGCAGUGAGGAAUAUUGGUCAAUGGGCGAGAGCCUGAACCAGCCAAGUAGCGUGAAGGAUGACUGCCCUAUGGGUUGUAAACUUCUUUUAUAAAGGAAUAAAGUCGGGUAUGGAUACCCGUUUGCACGUACUUUAUGAAUAAGGAUCGGCUAACUCCGUGCCAGCAGCCGCGGUAAUACGGAGGAUCCGAGCGUUAUCCGGAUUUAUUGGGUCUAAAGGGAGCGUAGAUGGAUGUUUAAGUCAGUUGUGAAAGUUUGCGGCUCAACCGUAAAAUUGCAGUUGAUACUGGAUAUCUUGAGUGCAGUUGAGGCAGGCGGAAUUCGUGGUGUAGCGGUGAAAUGCUUAGAUAUCACGAAGAACUCCGAUUG